AGAGUUUGAUCAUGGCUCAGAGUGAGCGCUGGCGGUAGGCCUAACACAUGCAAGUCGAACGGCAGCACAGGAGAGCUUGCUCUCUGGGUGGCGAGUGGCGGACGGGUGAGGAAUACAUCGGAAUCUACUCUGUCGUGGGGGAUAACGUAGGGAAACUUACGCUAAUACCGCAUACGACCUACGGGUGAAAGUGGGGGACCGCAAGGCCUCACGCGAUUGAAUGAGCCGAUGUCGGAUUAGCUAGUUGGCGGGUAAAGGCCCACCAAGGCGACGAUCCGUAGCUGGUCUGAGAGGAUGAUCAGCCACACUGGAACUGAGACACGGUCCAGACUCCUACGGGAGGCAGCAGUGGGGAAUAUUGGACAAUGGGCGCAAGCCUGAUCCAGCCAUACCGCGUGAGUGAAGAAGGCCCUCGGGUUGUAAAGCUCUUUUGUUGGGAAAGAAAUCCUGUUGGCUAAUACCCGGCGGGGAUGACGGUACCCAAAGAAUAAGCACCGGCUAACUUCGUG
rnacentral:rRNA from 1 species